rnacentral:rRNA from 1 species
UACGUAGGGCGCAAGCGUUAUCCGGAAUUAUUGGGCGUAAAGAGCUCGUAGGCGGUUUGUCGCGUCUGCCGUGAAAGUCCGGGGCUCAACUCCGGAUCUGCGGUGGGUACGGGCAGACUUGAGUACUGCAGGGGAGACUGGAAUUCCUGGUGUAGCGGUGGAAUGCGCAGAUAUCAGGAGGAACACCGAUGGCGAAGGCAGGUCUCUGGGCAUUAACUGACGCUGAGGAGCGAAAGCAUGGGGAGCGAACAGG